GGCCAGACUCCUACGGGAGGCAGCAGUGGGGGAUAUUGCACAAUGGGGGAAACCCUGAUGCAGCGACGCCGCGUGUGGGAAGACGGUCCUCUGGAUUGUAAACCACUGUCCCCAGGGACGAAAAUGACGGUACCUGGGGAGGAAGCUCCGGCUAACUACGUGCCAGCAGCCGCGGUAAUACGUAGGGGGCAAGCGUUAUCCGGAUUUACUGGGUGUAAAGGGAGCGUAGACGGCUGUGCAAGCCGGAUGUGAAAGCCCGGGGCUCAACCCCGGGACUGCAUUUGGAACUGCGUGGCUUGAGUGUCGGAGAGGCAGGCGGAAUUCCUAGUGUAGCGGUGAAAUGCGUAGAUAUUAGGAGGAACACCAGUGGCGAAGGCGGCCUGCUGGACGAUGACUGACGUUGAGGCUCGAAAGCGUGGGGAGCAAACAGGAUUAGAUACCCUAGUA
rnacentral:rRNA from 1 species